GCCGCGCAGUGGCUCACACCUGUAAUCCCAACACUUUGAGAGGCCAAGGCAGGCGGAUAACCUGAGGUCAGGAGCUCGAGACCAGCCUGGCUAAUGUGGUGAAACCCCAUCCCUAUUAAAAAUACAAAAAAAUUGGCCAGGCGUGGUGGCGGACGCCUGUAAUCCCAGCUACUUGGGAGGCUGAGGCAGGAGAAUCACUUGAACCUGAGAGGUGGAGGUUUCAAUGAGCUGAGGUCACGCCACUGCACUCCAGCCUGAGCGACAGAGCGAGACUGUCUCAAAACAAAACAAAACAAAACAAAAAAAGUACAAACACAUAUGCAAUAUAAUUACUCUGACCAUAAGACAAUUAUUAGGUUGGUGCAAAUGGAAUUAUUGCAGUUUUUGCCAUUACUUUCAAUGGCAAAAACCACAAUUACUUUUGCUCCAACCUAAUACGAUUUUAUUUACAAAAUUCAGUAUCCAUUGCAGAUGAUACAGCCUCAUAAUAGGAUAUAAGCUUUAAAAGUUGCAUCCUCUUUAUUCUGUAUAAUGUGUCUCUAUAAUUAUCCUGACACUGGAGAUGGCAAAGACUAAAUCUGAGCUCUUUCAUGAACAUGAGGCUGCUGCCUAAGUGGGCUUCCUGGUGAGCCACACAACCCCACCCACACAUCUAGUCUGUGGUAGAGUCUCGUGCUCCAGUGUUCUGUCCCCAUCUUUUUUCUUUGCUUCAAAUUCCUCUGAAGGUCAUGCUUAAAAGUCCCACAUUUACUGAAUUUCUCCUUCAUCAUAGCUCCAUGUGAGACACAGUGAGGGAUUCUAGGCUGACUUUCAUGGAAUCUAUCCAAUAGCUUGAAAUGAAAAGAAGAGAAAGUAGCAAAUUGAACAACAACAAUAACAAAGUACAGAUGAAAACCAUGUGUAAAGGACCACGCUCCAGCAGUUUCUGUCUUUUCAAUGAAGUACAUUCCUCUCCCACCAAGAAAUUUCACUCUGGUAGAAGACUCCUGCCAUGACCACCAAGCUUUCUCAGAGACUGCCUUGAAGGUAAUCCAAGGAGGGAAAGACCCUGCUUGGGAACUGUGGGAAGAUGACCUGGAUCUCAGAGUAUCACUCUCAGGAAGAAAAAGAACAGACUGCACUGAAGAAAUAAUGGCAUGCAAUGUUAUUUUUAAAUUACUGGUGAGAAAAAAAACAGGAACUGUAUGAUGUCUGAAUUCACACACACAAACACACUCACACACUCACACCUGUUCUCCAAAAUGAAGCUCACUUGUGGUGAAGCCAAACAGUGCAGCAGCCUUCUUUAAUCAUAUAGUGGAAGGAACCCCUUC
ensembl:lincRNA